rnacentral:lncRNA from 1 species
GAGAAGAAGAAGAAGAGAAGAAGAAGAAGAAGAAAGUUUAUAAAAAAGGUAAUGUAUUUUUUUAAUAAAUAAUUUUGUUUAUAAUUUAAUAAGUUUAUAGUUUGUGAAUUUUUUAGUAUAUAUUUUAGAAAAUAUUGUGAAUUUUAUGUUAUUAAUUAUUAAUUAUAAAUUAUCUAUAUUUAGUGUUUAUAGUUUAGAUUAGAAUUUUGUAUGAAUAUUAUAAUGUUUUUAUGAAUAUUGUAAUGUUGUAUGAAUAUUGUAAUUAUUUUAUAAUUAAAUUUGUAUUUAUAGUUUUGGAUUAGUAAUUUUUUGUAUGAAUAUUGUAAUUUUGUAUGAAUAUUAUAAAUUUUUUGUAUGAAUAUUGUAAUAAUAUUAUAGUUUUGUAUGAAUAUUGCAAUUUUUUUGUAUGAAUAUUGUAAUUUUGUAAUUUUGUAUGAAUAUUAUAUUUUUUUGUAUGAAUGUUGUAAUAUUAUAAUUUUGUAUGAAUAUUGCAAUUUUUUUGUAUGAAUAUUGUAAUUUUGUAAUUUUGCAAUUUUUAUGUAUUUUGUUUACAUUUUGAAACAGUUUUAAGAAAUUUGAAAUUCUUUUUUUACAGAUCUAGUAUUGAAAAUGGAGAAUCAGUUUUUUGUAUGCGUUUAUUUCGAUGGAGAAAUUUUAACAACUGUGGGAUGUAUAUUUGAAUGUCGCAAACAAGUAGCAAUGAGAUUUGAUAGAAAUAUCUCAUUUGAUGAUAUGAAGGAAAAAAUUAGUGAAAAA